rnacentral:rRNA from 1 species
UACAGAGGGUGCAAGCGUUGUUCGGAAUUAUUGGGCGUAAAGCGCGCGCAGGCGGUCCUUUAAGUCUGAUGUGAAAGCCCACGGCUCAACCGUGGAGGGUCAUUGGAAACUGGGGGACUUGAGUACAGAAGAGAAGAGUGGAAUUCCAGGUGUAGCGGUGAAAUGCGCAGAUAUCAGGAGGAACACCGGUGGCGAAGGCGGGUCUCUGGGCCGUAACUGACGCUGAGGAGCGAAAGCGUGGGGAGCGAACAGG